GUGCGUGGGGUGGGGUGCAGGCUGGGCGGCCUCGCCCGCGGGCCCCCGCCGCCAGGGCGCGGCCCCAGCUCCAUCUUCUUUGCCACCUGGGCGGGGAUCUGGGGGACUACGACCUACCCUGCGGAAGACACCGAGGGGACCGGCCGGCCACACCCCCCAGGCCACUCCGGCAGGCACCGGGUACGUGAUAUUCAUGAACAAGCAGAGAAGUCAGCUGAGGGCCACACACCCCGAUCUGCCUUUCACGGAAAUCACAAAGAUGCUGGCUGCUCAGUGGGCUCAGCUGUCUCAGGACAAAAAGGGAGGUAUGUGUCCCCUGUGGACGAGGCCAAGUAGAGCUACAUCUGAGAGCUGCAGGCUUUCCAGAGCCCUGAGGCCUACUGAGCCUUCCUGCAGAGGUGUGCAGCCCACAAGGCGCUGUGUGCGCUCACAGCAGUCACCCUGAUUGAAGAGCCAAAGCAGUUGACAUCCAGUCUCCCUUUUCAGCCCAUCCUGAACUGGUUGAAGAUUAAAGGGAGAUGAACACAAUGGCCUGUACUGUGGGACCUGCAGGCAGCUCUUCAGCUCCCUGCGCAACAAGAAGCAACCUGCUGCAGAGGCAGCACCUGCAGCGCCUCACAGGGGAAUUCAAAAAAGAUUCUGCCGCAUACUCAAAGCACCCAGAGCCUCUGGAAGAAGAGAAAGGACAAGAUUCAAAUGAGGUUGAGUCAGAGGAGGAAGCUGAGGGCCCCGAAUCCCUUCCGCUCAGAAGUCUGCAUCCAGAGAGGAGUUUUGCUUCACUCGACUUGUGUUUCUCGCAAGGGUUUGUCUAUAGAUUGCUGAAAAGUGAGUAAUCAAGUUCAGCAACUCCCUGGCAACUGUGAUGACCUAGGGUUUAUAAUCCUAGUCAGAGUAACCUACAGAGAGGUUAUAAUAUGAGGUGAAACAAAACAGAAAAGUCGCUAGAGGAAUAACGAUAGUAAAAAUUACAAUCAGAUGAAGAAUAAAGUUUUCAAUGAGGUACAGUUCUAAGCACUUCAUACAAAUAACCUGUCUUAAUUCUCAUAAAAGUACUGCGAGGCAGAUACUAGUAUCAUCUCCUUCUAAAGAUAAAAUGCAGCACAGAGAGGUUAAGUAACUUGUCCAAGGUUGAACAGCGAGUGGCCAAUCUGAGAUUUAAAUCCAGGCUGUCUGGGUCCAAGAACUCUGUUCUUCACUACUUCUCAACAAUGUCAACUAUGUAAAAUGACACACACACAUAAACCCACAUCAAUGGUAAUGGUGGUUAUCCCUGGCUGACAAGAUGAAAGAAGAUGUUAUGUAAUUCUUCAGUCCUUUCUGUGUCUGCCACAUUUUCCCCAAUGGAUAGAUGUCAAUUAAACUAUCAGAGGAAGAAACUAACUCUAUUAAAAAUUAUUUCAAGGGCUGGGCAAGGUGGGUUACACCUGUAAUCCUAGCAUUUUGGGAAGCCGAGGUUGACGGAUCACCUGAGGUCAGGAGUUCCAGACCAGCCUGGCCAAUAUGGUGAAACCCCAUCUCUACUAAAGAUACUAAAAUUAGCCAGGCAUGGUGGCAUGCACCUGUAAAAAAAUCUCAAGAAUGAACUGUUUAUACAGGGCUACCAGUCAUCACCUGCAUAAGGAGUCAAGGAAUUGGAGCUCAGGGAGCUGAGGAGGACUGUAGAAAGAGCUGGAGCAGAGGAGGAGGCCCUGCAGAGGCAGCUGGUGGAGUUCCAGGUGAUGGCCCCAUGUGCGUGCCGGAGGCUUGGGGCGGGAAGCGCCCACAUGGCUCAGCUGGUGGGGGGGCCCACCUGGAGGUGCUUAGGAAGCAAAGAGUAGAUACCACUUGGUCCACUUAAAAUGGUACUCUACAAACCCUGCUUGCUAGGAUGUGUUUGCUAUGUACCCUUAUAAAAUACACAGUGUUUGGUCCCUUGG
rnacentral:lncRNA from 1 species